CUCUGCUCAGCCUAAGAUGGUACAGAAGCUUAAAUCAUCUGGCUGCCACUUUGAGUCUUAGUUCUUUGUGGAAACUUCCCUGCAUAGUGAAAAUGCUUCAUCUUCCCAGAGACCAUGGAAAAGACUCAGAGAGGUAUUCUCAAGUAUUUAAGAUUAUACCACUGGAUUGGGUAAAGAUUUCCAAAACACUAAAGAAGAAACAUGAAUUCAUAAAGCUGCAAAUACAGCAUCAAGCAAAACAAGAAUUAAUUCCAUGGGACUGAAUGAACUGAUAAGAAUAAUUCUAAUGUGUAUGGCCCUUUUGUUUGAAACAUUACUG
rnacentral:lncRNA from 1 species